rfam:Brachypodium distachyon strain Bd21 chromosome 1, whole genome shotgun sequence.
UUACUACUCCUUCCGUCCAACAAAAGAUGUCUCAAAUUUGUCAAAAUUUUGGAUGUAUCUAAAUGUGACUUAGUGUAUAGAUGCAUUCCAAUUUAGUUAAAAUUGAGACAUCCUUCGUUGAACGGAGAGAGAGUACACA